AUGCAAUCUCCCACUGAAAAUGUGAAUAUUUCUCAAGGGCAUCCUCAGCUCAUGCGUGUGCAGCCGCAUACUGAUAACGUGAGCCGUUCUCAAGGGCAUGCUCAACAUGUGCAAAUGCAACUGCCUACCGACAAUAUGAGACGUUCCGAAGGGCAUCCUCAGCCCAUACAAAUGCAAUCGCCUAGUGCAAAUGUGGACCAUUUUGUUGAUGACAGUCGGCACAUGCAAAUGCAACCACCUACUGAGACUCUGAAUCGUUCUAAUUGCCAGCCCCAGUCUCUGCAAAUGCAGCUGACAUGUGCUGAGAGGCAGUCAAAUCUUCAGAGGAAUAAAUCAAAUCAGGGCAACAAGAGCGUGGGGAUUCUUUGUGCUUGGAAGAUGAUACUAAUUUAUGUGAAACAUCUAGAUACACGCUUGGGUGGAACACCCGUCUAA
rnacentral:rRNA from 1 species